AACGAACGCUGGCGGCAGGCUUAACACAUGCAAGUCGAACGCAUCGCAAGAUGAGUGGCAGACGGGUGAGUAACGCGUGGGAAUCUACCUAGUUCUACGGAACAACAGAGGGAAACUUCUGCUAAUACCGUAUACGCCCUAAGGGGGAAAGAUUUAUCGGAAUUAGAUGAGCCCGCGUAAGAUUAGCUAGUUGGUGGGGUAAUGGCCUACCAAGGCGACGAUCUUUAGCUGGUCUGAGAGGAUGAUCAGCCACACUGGGACUGAGACACGGCCCAGACUCCUACGGGAGGCAGCAGUGGGGAAUAUUGGACAAUGGGCGCAAGCCUGAUCCAGCCAUGCCGCGUGAGUGAUGAAGGCCUUAGGGUUGUAAAGCUCUUUCAGUGGGGACGAUAAUGACGGUAACCUGAGAAGAAGCCCCGGCUAACUUCGUGCCAGCCGCCGCCGUAAGAC
rnacentral:rRNA from 1 species